rnacentral:rRNA from 1 species
CCCUUAGAUGUUCUGGGCCGCACGCGCGCUACACUGAUGCAUUCGACGAGUCUAAAACCUGCUCUGAUAGGGGUGGGUAAUCUUUUGAAUGUGCAUCGUGAUUGGGAUAGAUGAUUGCAAUUUUUCAUCUUCAACGAGGAAUGCCUAGUAAACGCAAGUCAUCAGCUUGCAUUGAUUACGUCCCUGCCCUUUGUACACACCGCCCGUCGCUCCUACCGAUUGAAUGAUCCGAUGAAUAUCAUGGAUUGAGGAUGCAAGUAGGUUAGCCUAUCUUCAUCUUCGAGAAGUGAAGUAAAUCUUAUCAUUUAGAGGAAGGAGAAGUCGUAACA